UACAGAGGUCUCAAGCGUUGUUCGGAAUCACUGGGCUUAAAGGGCGCGUAGGCGGGCUUGCAAGUCUGUGGUGAAAUCCUCCAGCCCAACUGGAGAACGGCCGUGGAUACUGCGAGUCUCGAGGGAGGUAGGGGCGUGCGGAACAGAUGGUGGAGCGGUGAAAUGCGUUGAUAUCAUCUGGAACUCCGGUGGCGAAGGCGGCACGCUGGACCUCAUCUGACGCUGAGGCGCGAAAGCUAGGGGAGCAAACGGG
rnacentral:rRNA from 1 species